rnacentral:rRNA from 1 species
UGGGGAAUAUUGCACAAUGGGCGCAAGCCUGAUGCAGCCAUGCCGCGUGUGUGAAGAAGGCCUUCGGGUUGUAAAGCACUUUCAGCGAGGAGGAAGGUGGUGAACUUAAUACGUUCAUCAAUUGACGUUACUCGCAGAAGAAGCACCGGCUAACUCCGUGCCAGCAGCCGCGGUAAUACGGAGGGUGCAAGCGUUAAUCGGAAUUACUGGGCGUAAAGCGCACGCAGGCGGUUUGUUAAGUCAGAUGUGAAAUCCCCGGGCUCAACCUGGGAACUGCAUUUGAAACUGGCAAGCUAGAGUCUCGUAGAGGGGGGUAGAAUUCCAGGUGUAGCGGUGAAAUGCGUAGAGAUCUGGAGGAAUACCGGUGGCGAAGGCGGCCCCCCUGGACGAAGACUGACGCUCAGGUGCGAAAGCGUGGGGCAGCAAACAGGAUUAGAUACCCUGGUAGUCCACGCUGUAAACGAUGUCGAUUUGGAGGUUGUGCCCUUGAGGCGUGGCUUCCGGAGCUAACGCGUUAAAUCGACCGCCUGGGGAGUACGGCCGCAAGGUUAAAACUCAAAUGAAUU